UACGUAGGGUGCGAGCGUUAUUCGGAAUUACUGGGCGUAAAGCGUGCGCAGGCGGUUCGCCAAGUCUGAUGUGAAAGCCCCGGGCUCAACCUGGGAAUUGCAUUGGAAACUAGCGGGCUGGAGUGUGGCAGAGGGGGGUGGAAUUCCACGUGUAGCAGUGAAAUGCGUAGAGAUGUGGAGGAACACCGAUGGCGAAGGCAGCCCCCUGGGCUAACACUGACGCUCAUGCACGAAAGCGUGGGGAGCAAACAGG
rnacentral:rRNA from 1 species